rnacentral:rRNA from 1 species
ACCAGUUAUUCCGCCAGGAGUAGACGCUGGGUAGCCAAGUUCGGAGAGGAUAACCGCUGAAAGCAUCUAAGUGGGAAGCCCACCUUAAGAUGAGUGUUCUCACUACGAGAGUAGGUAAGGUCACGGGGAGAACACCCGUUAAUAGGCUUUAUGUGGAAGUACAGUAAUGUAUGUAGCAGAGAAGUCCUAACAGACCGAGGGCUUGACCUCAAA